rnacentral:rRNA from 1 species
AUACGGAGGGUGCAAGCGUUACUCGGAAUCACUGGGCGUAAAGCGCGCGCAGGCGGCUAUUUAAGUUGGAUGUGAAAGCCUACGGCUCAACCGUAGAACUGCAUCCAAAACUAUUUAGCUAGAGUGUGGGAGAGGAAGAUGGAAUUAGUUGUGUAGGGGUAAAAUCCGUAGAGAUAACUAGGAAUACCAAAAGCGAAGGCAAUCUUCUGGAACACCACUGACGCUGAGGCGCGAAAGCGUGGGGAGCAAACAGGAUUAGAAACCCCAGUAGUCC